rnacentral:misc_RNA from 1 species
GUGAAUCAUCGAAUCUUUGAACGCAAAUUGCACUCUCUUCGGAGAGUAUGCCUGUCUGAGGGUCAGCCUAAAAAAAAUUGACAUAGUUGCUGUUUCGGGUGACAUUCGUCGGAAAUUGGGUUAUCCUUAAACUUUGGGUUUUAAGCGGCUUAAAAUUUUUUUUUCGAUUUCACGAAAGUUUCUAAGAUUUACUUCUUACACCUUUAAGGUAUCGAUCUUUAUUAGAAGUUGCCCUUGCA